UCCAGUUUAACACUGGCAGUCUCCUUAGAGUCCCCAACUUAAUGCUGGUAACAAAGGACGUGGGUUGCGCUCGUUACGGGACUUAACCCAACAUCUCACGACACGAGCUGACGACAGCCAUGCAGCACCUGUCUCAUUGUCUUCUUGCGAAGAAAACCGACUUUCAUCGGCGGUCAAUGGAUGUCAAGACCAGGAUAAGGUUCUUCGCGUUGCAUCGAAUUGAACCACAUGCUCCACUGCUUGUGCGGGUCCCCGUCAAUUUCUUUGAGUUUUAAUCUUGCGACCGUACUCCCCAGGCGGGAUGCUUAACGCGUUAGCUUCGUCACUGAAAGGGUUAACACUUCCAACGACAAGCAUCCAUCGUUUAAGGCAUGGACUAC
rnacentral:misc_RNA from 1 species